GGGGUACAGCUCAGUGGUAGAGUGUGUGCUUAGUGUGCAUGAGGUCCUGGGUUCCAUCCUCAGGUUCUCCA
rnacentral:tRNA from 1 species